rnacentral:rRNA from 1 species
AACGAACGCUGGCGGCAUGCCUAACACAUGCAAGUCGAACGAGACCUUCGGGUCUAGUGGCGCACGGGUGCGUAACGCGUGGGAACCUGCCCUUAGGUUCGGAAUCACUCCCCGAAAGGGGUGCUAAUACCGGAUAAUGUCUUCGGACCAAAGAUUUAUCGCCUUUGGAUGGGCCCGCGUUGGAUUAGCUAGUUGGUAGGGUAAAAGCCUACCAAGGCGACGAUCCAUAGCUGGUCUGAGAGGAGGACAAGCCACACUGGGACUGAGACACGGCCCAGAAUCCUACGGGAGGCAGCAGUGGGGAAUAUUGGACAAUGGGCGAAAGCCUGAUCAAGCAAUGCCGCGUGAGUGAUGAAGGCCUUAGGGUUGUAAAGCUCUUUUACCCGGGAUGAUAAUGACAGUACCGGGAGAAUAAGCGCCGGCUAACUACGUG